UUGAAACACCAGUUCUUGUACAAUCACUGAAGUUAAGCAACAUCAAGCCUGAUCAGUACUUAGAUGGGUGACCACUUAAGAAUACUAGGUACU